CAGCAGCCACGGUAAUACGGAGGGAGCUAGCGUUGUUCGGAAUUACUGGGCGUAAAGCGCACGUAGGCGGUUAUUCAAGUCAGAGGUGAAAGCCCGGGGCUCAACCCCGGAACUGCCUUUGAAACUAGAUGACUGGAAUCUUGGAGAGGUCAGUGGAAUUCCGAGUGUAGAGGUGAAAUUCGUAGAUAUUCGGAAGAACACCAGUGGCGAAGGCGACUGACUGGACAAGUAUUGACGCUGAGGUGCGAAAGCGUGGGGAGCAAACAGGAUUAGAUACCCCCGUAGUCCCUGUCUCUUAUAC
rnacentral:rRNA from 1 species